rnacentral:rRNA from 1 species
GAUCAUGGCUCAGAACGAACGCUGGCGGCGCGUUUAAGCAUGCAAGUCGAGCGGCAAGGGCCUUCGGGCCCCUAGAGCGGCGGACGGGUGAGUAACACGUGGACAAUCUGCCCCCCGGCCCGGGAUAGCCCAGGGAAACCUGGAUUAAUACCGGAUGAGACGGGACCCGCGAUGGCGGGACCCGGGAAAGGCGCUGCGGCGCCGCCGGGGGAUGAGUCUGCGUCCCAUUAGCUAGACGGCGGGGUAACGGCCCACCGUGGCGACGAUGGGUAGCCGGCCUGAGAGGGUGGACGGCCACAUUGGAACUGAGACACGGUCCAGACUCCUACGGGAGGCAGCAGCUAAGAAUCUUCCGCAGUGGGCGAAAGCCUGACGGAGCGACGCCGCGUGAACGAAGAAGGCCGUGAGGUUGUAAAGUUCUUUUCGGGAGGGGGAACAACCGUGGCAGGGAAUGGCCGCGGGAUGACGUGAAUCCCGGAAUAAGCCCCGGCUAACUACGUGCCAGCAGCAGC